CCUACGGGCAGCAGCAGUGAGGAAUAUUGGUCAAUGGGCGGGAGCCUGAACCAGCCAAGCCGCGUGAGGGAAGAAGGUACAGCGUAUCGUAAACCUCUUUUGUCAGGGAACAAAGGCGGGGACUAGUCCCCGGAUGCGGGUACCUUAAGAAAAAGCAUCGGCUAACUCCGUGCCAGCAGCCGCGGUAAUCCGGAGGAUUCGAGCGUUAUCCGGAUUUGUUGGGUUUAAGGGGUGCGCAGGCGGCCUUUUAAGUCAGCGGUAAAAGCCCGGGGCUCAACCCCGGAGAGCCGUUGAAACUGGCGGGCUGGAGUUGGAGAGAAGUACGCGGAAUGCGCGGUGUAGCGGUGAAAUGCUUAGAUAUCGCGCAGAACCCCGAUUGCGAAGGCAGCGUACCGGGUCAAAACUGACGCUGAGGCACGAAAGCGUGGGUAUCGAACAGGAUUAGAUACCCCAGUAGUC
rnacentral:rRNA from 1 species